rnacentral:rRNA from 1 species
AUUGAACGCUGGCGGAAUGCUUUACACAUGCAAGUCGAACGGCAGCACGGACUUCGGUCUGGUGGCGAGUGCGAACGGGUGAGUAAUAUAUCGGAACGUGCCCAGUCGUGGGGGAUAACGUAGUGAAAAUUACGCUAAUACCGCAUACGAUCUACGGAUGAAAGCGGGGGAUCGCAAGACCUCGCGCGAUUGGAGCGGCCGAUAUCAGAUUAGGUAGUUGGUGGGGUAAAGGCUCACCAAGCCAACGAUCUGUAGCUGGUCUGAGAGGACGACCAGCCACACUGGGACUGAGUCACGGCCCAGACUCCUACGGGAGGCAGCAGUGGGGAAUUUUGGACAAUGGACGCAAGUCUGAUCCAGCCAUUCCGCGUGCAGGACGAAGGCCUUCGGGUUGUAAACUGCUUUUGUACAGAACGAAAAGGUUUCUAUUAAUACUAGGAGCUCAUGACGGUACUGUAAGAAUAAGCACCGGCUGACUACGUGCCAGCCGCCGCAGUAA